rnacentral:rRNA from 1 species
AUUGAACGCUAGCGGGAUGCUUUACACAUGCAAGUCGAACGGAGUGGCGGACGGGUGAGUAAUAUAUCGGAACGUGCCCAGUAGCGGGGGAUAACUACUCGAAAGAGUGGCUAAUAACGCAUACUAUUGGAGCGCCCGAUAUCGGAUUAGCUAGUUGGGGGGGUAAAGGCUCACCAAGGCAACGAACAGUGGCUGGUUUGAGAGGACGACCAGCCACACUGGGACUGAGAAACGGCCCAGACUCCUACGUGGGGCAGCAGUGGGGAAUUUGGGACAAGGGGGGAAACCCUGUUCCAGCGAUCCCGCGUGUAUGAUGAAGGCCUUGGGGUUGUAAGGUACUUUUGGCAGAGAAGCUGUAUCUGCAGAAUAAGCACCGGCUAACUCCGUGCCAGCAGCCGCGGUAAUUC